UACGGAGGGUGCAAGCGUUAUCCGGAUUCACUGGGUUUAAAGGGUGCGUAGGAGGGCAGGUAAGUCAGUGGUGAAAUCUCCGAGCUUAACUUGGAACUGCCGUUGAUACUAUCUGUCUUGAAUAUUGUGGAGGUGAGCGGAAUAUGUCAUGUAGCGGUGAAAUGCUUAGAUAUGACAUAGAACACCAAUUGCGAAGGCAGCUCGCUACACAUAUAUUGACUCUGAGGCACGAGAGCGUGGGGAUCAAACAGG
rnacentral:rRNA from 1 species